CUCCAUCACCUCCUCCUCCAGCAAAGUCCGUUUCCGAUGGGCCAAGGAAGACCGUGGCCAUGCCUCAGGCUAACAAGGUCGCGAAGCAACAGAAGAAAGGAUUUUUUUUCUCCAUCUUUUUUUAAUAUCGAGAGAUAUGAGGAUCGUGACCGAAGGAUCCUUGGUAGAGAGGUCUGACGAUGGUGAAAAGGAAAAGAAUGUUAUAGGAUAUCAUUGAAGAGUCCACCGAACGGUGGAAGAAGUAUGAUACUACCGAACGGUCUAUGGAAGAAGGCUACCGAACGGUCUGUGGAAGAAGGCUACCGAACGGUGGAAGAAAUCUGAAGCUACCGAGCAGUCGAUGGAAGAAGGCUACCGAAAGGUUUGUGGAAGAAGACUACCGAACGGUGGAAGAAAUCUGAAGCUACCGAGCGGUCGGUGGAAGAAGGUUACCGAACGGUCUGUCGAAGAAGACUACCAGAGAUUCCUUUCUUCUUACCUGGAUUCCCUACGUCCUGGGUUCUUGUUCGAGACAUUCGUCUUCCUAGAAGAAUCAAAGAAGAAGAAGCGAUGAUCCAAUCGUCGAUCCAAGUGAAUGAGGCCCAGGGGAUGUUGCCAGAUUCAGAGAAGAUUGAAAAACCUACUAAUGCAUCCACUUCCUUCGAAUCUCUCACGUAAGUUCUGAAACAAAAGAUGCAAGCCAGUACAAUUAUGGGUUCUCUACAACAAUUUGUUUGGACCAAGGGGAUGGGUUUCCCCACAAAGGGGUAUGGUAAUAACUACGGGUUUGUAUUUGAAGUGAAGUUCCGUAAUAUGAAGCCAUGCAAAGCUUCCCCUGUUGAAGGGAGUUUAGUCAUGGGAAGAUGUCAUCUCUGUCUUUCUCUGUUCCUGAAAUUGGAGGUGAUGGAAGUAGCUUCCUGGACCA